UUAUUUUUAAAUGGUUUUUUAAAAGGAAGAACCAUAUCAAAAUUUGUUGUGUUUCUGCAACUUCUUACACUCUACACACAUGUUCUGUAUUCUGAUUUUUAUUUCAGUAUUCAAGACCAAUGAAUGAAAUAUUUGGGUCAAGAUAGAAGAAAACAACAGCUGAAUUGCUGCCCAUCAGCAGGAGGCAGCUCAGUGCAAUUUAAUGGAGCAAGUGUAGGCCAGCUGAAGCCCUAACUUUUCCUAUAUGACUUUAGGAGACAGACCCUAUCUGUACAUAUCACAAUUGAGUGUCAUACUUCAUAAUGGAUAUCAAGAAUCUCGUCCAGAGAAACAUCACAAGUAUAUUAAAGGAAUUCAUCAUCUUCCUUGAUGAAAAGGAAUAUUGCUUCCUCCAAAGGAGGAAUUCACCACUUCUUCCUGCUUAAAAUUUUUUCUGUUUUUUAAAUCAACACUACACAUUCCCAGUUUUCCUCCUUCUCAGUAAUCAUUACUGGUUUAUCCUUCUUGUUAGGCUUUGGAAAUGUUUAAGUUUUAAGAGGGCUUCUUCUAACACUGUACUCCAUAAGCAGUCUCGACCUGGUGCAUAGUGUCUGUGAUCCAUACCUAAUCCAGACCAGUAGGCUUCCCAGGCAUCUCAAACUUCUAUUCACACUGAACCUUCCUCCCAAAUCUUGGCCUCUAAAAGCUUUCUUAAGAGCACAUAGUACAAUACCAGACACGUGGUAUGUGCUUAGUAAUCUAUGAUUAUCAUGGGGGCCGCUUCCACUAUAAUUUGUAUGCCCUAGAGCAUAA
rnacentral:lncRNA from 1 species